AACUUGCUAAUGAUCUUCGUGUUCGACUGGCCUGUGAAAUGUUUGGGCCUCUGCUUCGAGUACGGCUCCGGAUCGCCGCUGCAGCCGCCGGUCUCGCCGAGCGGCGCCUUGCUGUCGAGCCACUUGCGCGAUUCUUCGGAUUGCAUCUCGUACGGACCCUCCGGCGCGGGCUUGCCGACGGGGAGCAGGGAGAGGCACGGACCCAUGGUUGCUGGUUCUCGACGGGGUGUUUUUGUAAGAAGCGCGCGGUUCGAC
rnacentral:lncRNA from 1 species